rnacentral:lncRNA from 1 species
CUACCACUGAAAUCUGUAAUUAUCAAGCUGCAUUGAUUAUUGGCAAGGAGAAAAUAUGUUAUAAUUUUUAAAAAUUAUGUAAAUUAUCUUCUAGACUUAAAAAAAACUUUCUAUGACUAUAUCUGCCUCUGUUUCUGCUUGUAUAGAAAUUAAAAUUUUGCCUUUUCCUGUGAAAUUAUGUUUUAUAGCUUACUGGCUUGUGAUAAUAAUCCUUUGUACUUUUGCAGGGCCUUUUAUCUGGGAAUCUCAAAGCACUUCAUAAACUUUAAUUAAUUCUUGCAACAAGCCCCCUGAGGCGUUAUGGGGAGUUAUCCGAGCUGACUCAGAAGUUUCACCCUGGUACUGGCUUAUCUUCAUGUGAGCUGAGCAAAGCCUGCACACCCAUUUCUCAGGUCAGAAUGCUUCUGCUCCUCAACCCUCUCGCUUGGAAAACUCUCACUUCCCUCAUACUUGGACUCAACCAAGCAUCUGCUGUGUGCCGAGCACGGGGCUCGUGGCUUUUUUUUGCCUGUGCUGUCUCCUCGAAAUACAUUCUUAAGACAACCCUAUGAGUGACUGUUGUUAUCCCCAUUUUACAGAUGAGGAAAAUGGAGGCUCUGAAAGUGAAGUGGCAUAUUUGGGGUCACACAGGAGAACUAGGAUUCCAACCAUGUUCUGGCUUGAAGUUGAUGCUCUUGUCACUCAGCCAGCUGACACCUGGUACCCGGUUGUGUUGCAGGAAGGCUUAUUAAUCCUACAAUGGCAUUUCCAGAGGACGUUGCCUCACCACCACCAGCAAAGCUCCUUCCCUUGACCUGGAGACACUGAAGCGGCUCCGGAUGCUUUGCUCUUUCCUCCGACAUGACUGUUGAAGUCAGACAAGCCUGGAUUUGAACUCUGGUUCUGUACCCAUUGUGGUUAAUCUUGGGCAAGUUCCAACCUCUCCCUGCCUCAGUUUCCUCAUUAGUAAAAGGAGCUGUGGCAAGGAUCAAAUGAGUUAACGAACACGAAAUCCCACUGCACAGAGCCCCACACGUGGCAAGGGCUCCAUCAGGGUCCCCAUCUGCUCUGCCAUUCCUGUCCCGCCAGCUGCCUGCAUUCUGUCCUAGCAGAGCCGACUGAGGAGCACCAGUGCUAUCCAAUUCUUUCCUCUGUUGCUUUUGCCAAAAUCCUGGCUGGGACUGCGGCUCUCCUUCACCCAGGUCAUGACAACACCCAAGAGCAGUCACUACAGCUGCUCCUGCUAUGUGACAGCUCGGAGAGACAGAGGAUUAGCUGGGGUUACCCCACUGUGGAUAUGUCAUGCUUGUCUCUUUCAGAUCCUGCUAAAGUGGAGUGUUGAACUUUAAGGUGCUUCCUGCCUCCAAGCCUGCAAGCCUGGAUCUCCCAGGAUUCUCUUCUGCCCCUGACAGCGUUAGCAUUGCAAGCGCAGCCUUGGGGAAUGAAGUGUCCCUUCCCAGUGCCGCUGAGAGAGGGGCAAGAACUUGGGUGCAGUCCCAUGGCCUGAAUGAACGGUGUUUCUCAGGCAUGGCAAAUCUGAAAGGAAUCAACACAUUUUUCUGUUGGAUUCUCUCUUUAAAAAUGGGAAUGGCGGCACAAGCACAUUUCAGUUCGAACAGGUUCUUGGACGCCAGCUCACCUGCAGGCUCCUGUGUUCUUUCAUGCUCCUCCAUCCGCUCUUCCUUUCAGGCCCUAAGAAUGCGCCCCUAGCACUGGGGCCUGGAGCACAGGCCCCCACAUACUGCCUGCAGCUCAGCCCUGAAAUGACAUUAGCUGGGGGUGUUGGAGCCAGCCCGGCCACCAGGCCUCUUAGACUGGUUGUCUGGGACACUGCCUGCAGGACAAGCCCUCAGCCCUUUCCUUCCCCUCACUGGACUGUGGGCACGACAGGGAAAGCAUGUCCCAUGUGCUAACUUUGCCCAGAGGUGGCCUGUCCAGCCCCCUCUCCAGGUGACCUUGCCCCAUAGGGGGAAAAGGUACAUGCCGCUACCGCUGCAGACUUCUGGGUACUUCUACCAGGCAGAUGGCCCUGCCACCAGGAGCCAGGGGCUGGCCACCAACCUGGUGCUCCAGAGUGCACAAGGCCUCCCCUGGUCUUGGGCCCCCUCACCCCAUCAGUCUGCUGUCCUCUCAGCCUCCUGAUCUGGGUUGGUCUGAGCCAGUCCCUCAGACCCUGACCAGGUGGAAUUUCUGAGCCUGGCCUUGGCCAAUCCCACCCAAAUCUGGCCCCGAGGGCCUGUCCUCCCCUUUCUUGGGCUGUCUGCCUUCCUAGACAGGCCUUUCUUAUUUCAACAGCAGCGGAAUUGCAUAAAUAUUUGCCAAGUCCAUGUGUCUAGACAACCUUGAGGAUGUCCCACAAUGGAGCAUGGAAUCCCUCCACAAAUGGGAAUUAGACUUCUUCACUGCCAGGGGUCCUCCUAGAAGUUUUAAGACCAUCACAGAGGGCAACUGUAAAAGAAUGAGGAUGGUGUGUUUGUGUGUGUGUGCACACACCUGUGUGUAUGAGGCCCGUAGAAUCCAAUGUGAAGGACUGAAUACAAGCCACAUUACAAAAAUGGCCCCAAAUACAGCAAAGCACAUCCGACAGGGCCGGGCCUCCCCUCUCCAGUGAUGGGGGUGAACAGAGGGGUGGGCUCAUUCUUUAAGGCAAAGCUGUUUCUUCUCAUUUUAGAAAAUAACAUUUAUGGCCUGACACUGUGGCUCACACCUGAAAUUCCAGCACUUUGGGAGGUUGAGGUGGGAGGACAGCUUGAGCCCAGGAGUUCAAGACCAGCCUGAGCAACAUAGUGAGACUCUGUCUUUACAAAAAACUUUAAAAAAUUAGUUGGGUGUGGUGUUGCAUGCCUGUAGUCCCAGCUACUCCAGGAAGCUGAAGUGGGAGGAUUGCUUGAGCCCAGGAGUUAGAGGCUGCUGUAAGCUACGAUCGCACCACUGUAGUCCCGCCUGGGUGACAGGGCAAGACCCUGUCUUAAACAAAAAAUUAAUAGUACUUUUAAAAAGUGAGUGCUCCUUAUUACAACCACCAGGAUGCUUAAUGGUUAUGAGGUUUCCUUUCAGGGUGAUGAAAACAUUCUGGAAGUCAACAGUGGUGCUGGUUGCAGGACAUUGUGAAUGUACUGAAUGCCACUAAAUGGUACACUUUAUUUAUUUAUUUAUUUAUGUUCAGAUGGAGUUUUGCUCUUGUUGCCCAGGCUGGAGUGCAA